rnacentral:rRNA from 1 species
AUGCCUGCAAAUCUGAGUGGGUUCUCAUAUAUUAAAUACCUGAUGCUUGCCCGUGUGUCAAUUGUUGAUGAAACCAUUUCAAAUAUUGUGUCCAGCUGUUGUGCUCUUGAAAGUCUAGUCCUACAAUAUUGCCAUCAGUUGAUUCAUUUGACGGCUUCUCAUGCACGGUUGCAAAUCUUGGUUGUUCAAUUUUGCAAAAGCUUGGUUAGUAUUUGUAUUCGUGCUGACACCCUUGAGUCAUUCGUGUACAUGGGCUACAAGAUCAAUAUUGACUGCGAACAUACACAAUUUCUUGAUAUGCUCCAUGUUUAUUAUGUGAACAAGGACGACUGCGCUUUAGACUUCAUAAGUGCAUUUCCUAAGCUCCCCAAACUAGAAUUUUUGGUAAUCCAGUUUCCUACAUGCUUACCGGUAUACCGUGUGUUGCAGCAUGCUACAAGGUUUGCUGGUUUGACAACAGUUAUAUUGAUUCUCAUGAAACCUUGGAAAGAGGACAUUUCCUCAGUGGCUUAUCUCCUCAAAUCAGCUGCUUUAAUAGAAUAUUUUGGUCUACAUGGUUGUUGCAAGCUUCAACAACAUACUCAGUUGAACAUCCCAUGGCCCGAGGAUUUUAUACUUUCAAGACUCUACACUAUUAUAAUUGGUGGGUUUAGUGGGGAAUUCGAACUCAUGGAACUAGUGUACUUUCUACUACGGAGUACACCGGCGUUAGAUGUAUUCAGAAUCGAUACACGUGCCAUGGAGCCAUGGUUGGUCAGAGCGAACGAGGAUAAGUUGCAAGAUGACACGAGACGUCAUUAUGCAAGAGAUAUGGCUUACGCACACUUGGUUCCCAAGGUCCCAUCCACCGCGAAGUUCCAUAUUAUAUGA